AGUUAUUUGAAUUUGAGUCUAAAUGGUGAUUUCGAAUCAGCUGAAGGAUCCGUUUGGGAAGCAAUGGCUUUUGCUUCAAAUUAUGUAUAAGAUAGUCUUUUUGCUAUUUUCCAUACCGUUUUAAUCGUCUUGGUCAGAGUGAAACUGUUUCAUUGCAGCAUAAUCUUGAUAUCUAUGAUGCUCUUGCUAAAGCAUUUAGUUUUGAAACUAUUGUUGUUGAUGAUCUUGCUGUUGCUUCAUUAGUUGAAGCAUUUAAGCAUUUGCUUCAAUCAAAGGUCGUGCAACAGGAACCCUUGCUAAAACUUACAAAGGAGAAGGUUUUCCUGAUAUUGAGGAUAAAGAUAACUGGCAUGGUAAACCUCUUGGAGAUAAAGCUGAUUAUGUCAUUAAACACUUGGAAGGUCAAUUAAAAAAUUUAUCAGCAGCAAUUCAACCAUUUAACCCAGUAGCUCCAGAAAUCAGUUUGAAAGUUUCACUCAAUGAACCUCCUAGCUAAAGGAUGUAUGUCUAAAACCAGGCAGAGAGCACAACAGUGAAUGAAUAUUAUUGGUCAUCGAUAAUAACAAAAUAGAUUAACAAUAGCCGUCAUCAACACCAUCUCUUGAUUGAAUUAAACUUGAUUCAAAUCAUAUGCUCAAUGUGCAUAAAAUCAAAUGUUUUAGUGGCUCAACUAAUAAGGUAACAAUUUUUCAAUCAAGAGAUGUUUAGACUGUUUAGCUCUCUGCCUGGUUUUAGACAUACACCCUUUAUAAGCUUGGUGAUAAAGUGCAAUGUCACAAGUAAACAUUAAGUGUGUUGGUCCUAAUGUCAGUAUUGGAGACGACGGAACCAUCUCAAAUGGCUCUUGAAGAUUUGCUGAUAAAGGAGUUAAUUGUCGAGUUUUAUAUCUAUUAAACCAAUUGAUGCUGCCGGCAUUUUAGAGAAUGCAAGAGCAUGUAAUGGAAAAAUUGUUGUUGUUGAAGAUCAUUACCCAGAAGGUGGUUUAGGUGAAGCUGUUGCUGGUGCAAUCUCAAACUCAACUGGUAUUACAAUGAAACAUUUGGCUGUACGAGAGAUUCCUCGAAGUGGUCCACCAGCAGAUCUUAUUGAAAAAUAUGGAUUUGGAUCAAACUCAAUUAUCAAUGCUGUUAAAAGCUUUGCUGAAUUUCUGUUAUUUCACAAGGUUUAAUAUAAUUUCCAUAAAAUUUGUUUUACGGAUUUUCUAAUUUAA